rnacentral:rRNA from 1 species
GUGGGGAAUCUUCCGCAAUGGACGAAAGUCUGACGGAGCAACGCCGCGUGAGUGAUGAAGGUCUUCGGAUUGUAAAGCUCUGUUAAUCGGGACGAAAGAGCCUAGUGUGAAUAAUGCUAGGAAGUGACGGUACCGGAAUAGAAAGCCACGGCUAACUACGUGCCAGCAGCCGCGGUAAUACGUAGGUGGCAAGCGUUGUCCGGAAUUAUUGGGCGUAAAGCGCGCGCAGGCGGAUCUGCCAGUCUGUCUGAAAAGUUCGGGGCUUAACCCCGUGAUGGGAUGGAAACUACAGAUCUAGAGUAUCGGAGAGGAAAGUGGAAUUCCUAGUGUAGCGGUGAAAUGCGUAGAUAUUAGGAAGAACACCAGUGGCGAAGGCGACUUUCUGGACGAAAACUGACGCUGAGGCGCGAAAGCUAGGGGAGCGAACGGGAUUAGAAACCCCUGUAGUCC